AGCCUCGUAGCUCAGAUGGUUAGAGCGUUUGGUGCAUCGAAGCUUGCCCCUUGCUGAUGUAGGUUCAAAUCCCACUGAGGUUA
rnacentral:tRNA from 1 species